rnacentral:rRNA from 1 species
GUUAAAAAGCUCGUAGUUGAAUUUCGGGAUCAAUAUAUCGGUCGUGCCUUGGUACGUACUGGUAUCAUUGGUUUCUCCUUUCUGACGGACCAUGAUGUCAUUAAUUUGGUGUUAUGGGAAGUUAGGACUGUUACUUUGAAAAAAUUAGAGUGUUUAAAGCAGGCUUUAGCUUGAAUACAUUAGCAUGGAAUAAUGAAAUAGGACGUUUGAUUCUAUUUUGUUGGUUUCUAGGAUCGACGUAAUGAUUAAUAGGGAUAGUUGGGGGCAUUAGUAUUCAAUUGUCAGAGGUGAAAUUCUUGGAUUUAUUGAAGACUAACUACUGCGAAAGCAUUUGCCAAGGAUGUUUUCAUUAAUCAAGAACGAAAGUUAGGGGAUCGAAGACGAUCAGAUACCGUCGUAGUCUUAACCAUAAACUAUGCCGACUAGGGAUCGGAUGAUGUUAAUUUUUUAAUGACUCAUUCGGUGCCUUACGGGAAACCAAAGUG